GAUUGUGAGAAGACGAGAGCAUAUGGCCGCCGCCGUUGUGCGGCUGCAUGUGGUCUGCUGGUGGUCCCAGAAAUCCUGCCACAUCACCAGGGCUCUGGGAAGAGAACCUUUAACUUUUGGAGAAGUCCGGAAUAUACUUCUCAGAAGAACCAGGUGUUAUAGGGGGAUACAGGCAAGUAGAAUAUGAGCAAAGACAGUGCUGGACGACAGGGGAGUCUGCGCUCCACCAACUGCCGCGCUGAUCAGUUCAAACAGCCCCCUUUUUAUUCCAUUUUUCAUGAAGUAGUGGGUCUCCUUUUGUCUUCCUGGAAUAUCUUGCAAGCCAGUUCCUGGAACGUCUUGCAGUUAUCUUAUGUUUGCAUAAGCAGUCUCUGGUGUAAGUGAUUGCGGUUAUCUUAUCUUGCAUAAGCUGUGUCCGUUGGCUGUUUGCAUAUCUUCUGUUGCCUAACCUUUACAUUGGGCUUAACAUAUAUCUUAAUAAACAAUACCUCAGUCUA